GGACUCCUGUCGCUCAGAUACUGGGGUGAAGGAGUGAAGGAAGGCAGGAAUGAAUGAACAAAUGAGCAGUUAAUCUGCCUGCUUCCUGCCAACUUAAAAAAAAUACUUUAUUUCUUUUUUUAAUUGAUUUGAGAGAGAGAGUUGUUGUUCCGCUUAUUUUUGCAUUUAUUGAUUGCUUCUUGUAUGUGCCCUGACCCAGGAUGGAUGGGCGCAUCCGGAGGACGCUGUAACCAACUGACCUACCAGGCUCCUGGCAACUCUCCUAGCCUUUCCUUGAGUGCCUUUUGGGUUUUGCUACCUCCCUGCGCACAGUCUCUGUUCCCGAGCACAUCUAGCCUACUUUGUAUGCCUCUUCCCAGCUGUGGGAUGCUCCACUCAGCCUAUGGGUCUCACUUCCCCAGGGACAGAGGCAUGUGAACCUGAUGCUAGCUAGCCUCACGGAGUCCCACAACUGGAGAGGAUGCAAGAGGGGAGAUGCACAACAACACCAAGUUGAGUACAGGGAUACGAAUGCACACAGGAGCAGAAUUUGUAUCACAGAGAGAGUAGAGAUCUUCAGGGAAGGGGGAGGGCAUGCUCAGCAGGGUUUAGAAGAAUGAAUAUGAGUUCACCAGGUAGAUCAGUGUAAAGGCCAUUGUUGGCAAAGGGAAGAACAUGUGCAAAGACAGCAGACAGGCAGAGAGUAAUUGCUGAAGGGAAGAAAGAACCUUUCCAUCCAGCUCAGAGACUGAUGGGGGAGCCCUGGAGUCAGACUACUGAAUCCCAGCUCUGCUAUUGACUUGCCAAACAUCCCUGAGCAAAUCCCUUCUCUCUCUGAGCCUCAAGACCCACGUUUAUAAGAUGGGUAUAAUAAUUCCCUCCUGGGUAAGCCUGAGGUAAAUGGAUGUGUAUUAAAGUUUAUCCAAAUAAAUGGUACGAAUUCAUGGUGUAGGAAAUUCAAUCAACCCCCUUCCUAUUGUCAUGGUGGCCCUUGAAGGCAAAGCAGAGUGACCAAACAGCUUUACCUUUGCCCUCCACACCAUACCUGUUCAAACAGACACCCAUUAUCUGGUUGAAAUUCCAUUUCUAACUUUUCCCUAUAAAAGUUUUAUGACCCCUGGAGGCUAUGUUUAGAGGUGCAGUCAUCAGAAGCUAUUGACCCUGGAUCAGAGACUAGAUUCCCAGGCGAGCUAGUCUAUUUUGGGGUGGCUGAGUCCUGUGAAAUAGGAUUUAACUCCAACAAGGAGGGAACAGCAGAAAAAACAUAAGGGAGGAGCAUCUGAGCCUGGAAGGUUGGGUUGGCGGGGGGAGAGGGAGCAUGAAGAAAUAAAUGCCUGAAAGUGGGUCAUGAAGGUGCAGCUUAAGCCAGAGAGAGCCAGGCUAAGUAGCCCCUGUGCUCGAAGUGCUGGGGGCUGGGAGAGGGAGGAGACGAGCAUAGGGGGAAUUUGAAUUAGAGAAGAAGCUGAAUGGUGAGGGUCACAAAGGCCCUCAAAUGCCAGGCAAACGUCCUGGCAGUCUGGAGUAAAGGCCUGCUGAGUCAACCGCAGCUGAUGCAAGGGGGGCUGGCCGGGGCUGGGAUGCAGGAGUCCCAGACCGCAGGAUAUUUUGCAACUCAAAUCCUCCCAGGCUGCAGACAGGUAUGUUCUGCUCUACCUGGCAGGAUAUGACCGUCACACAAUGCCAGAACUCACAUGGGACCAUCUCAACGACCCUCAAGGUUGACUCAACUGUCUCCUGGUCCUGCUUCUGUUUCUAGAUGAGAAAAGCAGAUUGGUUCCGCUUUGGUUAGAGGUUUGCCCUGGGUCCGAUUGGCUGUGGUCAGACCAAUUGGCAUCACAGAGCACAGACAAAGAGAACAGGGUGGGGCGGAAGAAGGGGUAUGAGUCACAAAGGCAAACAUGUGUAUCUAUUAAAAAUGUUGAAUAGAAAUAUACACACACUGAUAUGAAAAGAAAGGCAAGCCCAGUUGGUGAGGCUCAGUGGUUGAGCAUUGAUCUCUGUCAUCAUUGAUGUUUCUAUCUCUCCCUCUCCCUUCCUCUCU